rnacentral:rRNA from 1 species
AUUGAACGCUGGCGGCAUGCCCUACACAUGCAAGUCGAACGGCAGCACGGGCUUCGGUCUGGUGGCGAGUGGCGAACGGGUGAGUAAAGUAUCGGAACGUACCUUUCAGUGGGGGAUAACGUAGCGAAAGUUACGCUAAUACCGCAUAUUCUGUGAGCAGGAAAGCAGGGGAUCGCAAGACCUUGCGCUGAUUGAGCGGCCGAUAUCAGAUUAGCUAGUUGGUGGGGUAAAGGCCUACCAAGGCGACGAUCUGUAGCGGGUCUGAGAGGAUGAUCCGCCACACUGGAACUGAGACACGGUCCAGACUCCUACGGGAGGCAGCAGUGGGGAAUUUUGGACAAUGGGGGCAACCCUGAUCCAGCCAUGCCGCGUGAGUGAAGAAGGCCUUCGGGUUGUAAAGCUCUUUCGGCCGGGAAGAAAUCGCAUGGGCUAAUACCCUGUGUGGAUGACGGUACCGGAAUAAGAAGCACCGGCUAACUACGUGCCAGCCGCCGCAGUAAGAC